GAGCGAAUGAGGCAUUGCAUGUCUCUGGGAUAUUCUGUGAAAAGCAAAAUGGCUGAUACUAUUGGGCAGUAUGGAAACGGAUUCAAGACAAGUACCAUGAGACUUGGAGCUGAUGUGAUUGUUUUCUCUCGUUCUGAUGGGAAGCCAGGGAAAAGCCCCACACAGAGCAUUGGAUUGCUGUCCUACACAUUCUUGCGGAACAAAGGAAUGGAAGAUAUUGUUGUUCCCAUGCUUGACUAUGAAAAAAGAGAAGGGUGGGACAGGAUAAUACGAUCAUCAUCUGAUGAUUGGGAUAAAAAUCUCGAGACCAUAAUUGAGUGGUCCCCUUUCUCAAGUGAAGCUGAUCUUCUUAGACAGUUUAAUCCGAUGAAAGGUCAAGGCACUCGAAUUGUAGUAUACAAUUUGUG
rnacentral:misc_RNA from 1 species